rnacentral:tRNA from 1 species
GGUAGAGCAGAGGACUGAAAAUC